rnacentral:rRNA from 1 species
GAUCAUGGCUCAGAACGAACGCUGGCGGCGCGUCUUAAGCAUGCAAGUCGAACGGCAAGAUUUGUGCUUGCACAAAUCCUAGAGUGGCGGACUGGUGAGUAACACGUGGGUGACAUACCCUUCAGUUGGGGAUAGCUAUUAGAAAUAGUAGAUAAUACCGAAUACGACCGUAGUUGUUAGAGGACUACGAGGAAAGUAGCUAAGGCUAUGCUGAAAGAUGGGCUCGCGUCUGAUUAGAUAGUUGGUGAGGUAACGGCCCACCAAGUCGACGAUCAGUAGCCGGACUGAGAGGUUGAACGGCCACAUUGGAACUGAGAUACGGUCCAGACUCCUACGGGAGGCAGCAGUGGGGAAUAUUGGGCAAUGGGCGCAAGCCUGACCCAGCAACGCCGUGUGAGGGAAGAAGGUCCUCGGAUUGUAAACCUUUGUCUUAUGGGACGAUAAUGACGGUACCAUAGGAGGAAGUCACGACUAACUACGUG